CGGCUCACCAAGGCGAUGACGGGUAGCCGGUCUGAGAGGAUGUCCGGCCACACUGGAACUGAGACACGGUCCAGACACCUACGGGUGGCAGCAGUCGAGAAUCAUUCACAAUGGGGGAAACCCUGAUGGUGCGACGCCGCGUGGGGGAAUGAAGGUCUUCGGAUUGUAAACCCCUGUCAUGUGGGAGCAAAUUAAAAAGAUAGUACCACAAGAGGAAGAGACGGCUAACUCUGUGCCAGCAGCCGCGGUAAUACAGAGGUCUCAAGCGUUGUUCGGAAUCACUGGGCGUAAAGCGUGCGUAGGCUGUUUCGUAAGUCGUGUGUGAAAGGCGCGGGCUCAACCCGCGGACGGCACAUGAUACUGCGAGACUAGAGUAAUGGAGGGGGAACCGGAAUUCUCGGUGUAGCAGUGAAAUGCGUAGAUAUCGAGAGGAACACUCGUGGCGAAGGCGGGUUCCUGGACAUUAACUGACGCUGAGGCACGAAGGCCAGGGGAGCGAAAGGGAUUAGAUACCCCUGUAGUCCUGGCAGUAAACGGUGCACGCUUGGUGUGCGGGGAAUCGACCCCCUGCGUGCCGGAGCUAACGCGUUAAGCGUGCCGCCUGGGGAGUACGGUCGCAAGAUUAAAACUCAAAGAAAUUGACGGGGACCCGCACAAGCGGUGGAGUAUGUGGCUUAAUUCGAUGCAACGCGAAGAACCUUACCUGGGCUUGACAUGUAAUGAACAACAUGUGAAAGCAUGCGACUCUUCGGAGGCGUUACACAGGUGCUGCAUGGCCGUCGUCAGCUCGUGUCGUGAGAUGUUUGGUUAAGUCCAGCAACGAGCGCAACCCCUGUUGCCAGUUACCAGCACGUGAAGGUGGGGACUCUGGCGAGACUGCCCAGAUCAACUGGGAGGAAGGUGGGGACGACGUCAGGUCAGUAUGGCCCUUAUGCCCAGGGCUGCACACGUACUACAAUGCCCAGUACAGAGGGGGCCGAAGCCGCGAGGCGGAGGAAAUCCUAAAAACUGGGCCCAGUUCGGACUGUAGGCUGCAACCCGCCUACACGAAGCCGGAAUCGCUAGUAAUGGCGCAUCAGCUACGGCGCCGUGAAUACGUUCCCGGGUCUUGUACACACCGCCCGUCACAUCAUGGAAGCCGGUCGCACCCGAAGUAUCUGAAGCCAACCGCAAGGAGGCAGGGUCCUAAGGUGAGACUGGUAACUGGAUGAAGUCGUAACAAGGUA
rnacentral:rRNA from 1 species